rnacentral:lncRNA from 1 species
GAGACAUUAAAGGUGACACACAUCAAUGUAUUGUAUUGCCCAACUUGUGGACUCUUGUCCCCAAUACAAUUAACUCAUAAUUUAAAUGUAUACAAAGGUGUUGGAUGAUGACAGUUGUUUAUAAUAAUAAUUUCAUGGCAUUUGAAACACAGGUGGAAAAUUAAGACAUCAGUUAAGUUAAGAGAGAGCUUGAGAUGUGCACGGUCCAACCAGCACAGGCAGUUCAACUAGAAUAAAUGGUCAAGGAAAGUGCGUUGAAAGGAAAAUUACAGUGUCUCAGCCGUCUCUUCCAUCGUUCGUCUCCAUCAAAAGAUCUAUUGUUAAUUGAUCUCGACGAUUGUCAUAACCAACUGUUGAGUUAUCUACGUUCCCCUCCUGGUUGUUCUCAUCAUCCACUCUGGAACACAAAAGGGAUUGAUCCUCCUCAGCUCCAACUCCAUUUUGUGUGUGUGUGUGUGUGUGUGUGUGUGUGUGUGUGUGUGUGUGUGUGUGU